UACAGAGGGGGCAAGCGUUGUUCGGAAUUACUGGGCGUAAAGGGCGCGUAGGCGGCCCGCUAAGUCGAACGUGAAAUCCCCGAGCUCAACUCGGGAACUGCGUCCGAUACUGGUGGGCUUGAAUCCGGGAGAGGGAUGCGGAAUUCCAGGUGUAGCGGUGAAAUGCGUAGAUAUCUGGAGGAACACCGGUGGCGAAGGCGGCAUCCUGGACCGGCAUUGGCGCUGAGGCGCGAAAGCUAGGGGAGCAAACGGG
rnacentral:rRNA from 1 species